UGGGGAAUUUUGGACAAUGGGCGAAAGCCUGAUCCAGCAAUGCCGCGUGUGUGAAGAAGGCCUUCGGGUUGUAAAGCACUUUUGUCCGGAAAGAAAUCCUUGGCUCUAAUACAGUCGGGGGAUGACGGUACCGGAAGAAUAAGCACCGGCUAACUACGUGCCAGCAGCCGCGGUAAUACGUAGGGUGCAAGCGUUAAUCGGAAUUACUGGGCGUAAAGCGUGCGCAGGCGGUUUGCUAAGACCGAUGUGAAAUCCCCGGGCUCAACCUGGGAACUGCAUUGGUGACUGGCAGGCUAGAGUAUGGCAGAGGGGGGUAGAAUUCCACGUGUAGCAGUGAAAUGCGUAGAGAUGUGGAGGAAUACCGAUGGCGAAGGCAGCCCCCUGGGCCAAUACUGACGCUCAUGCACGAAAGCGUGGGGAGCAAACAGGAUUAGAUACCCUGGUAGUCCACGCCCUAAACGAUGUCAACUAGUUGUUGGGGAUUCAUUUCCUUAGUAACGUAGCUAGCGCGUGAAGUUGACCGCCUGGGGAGUACGGUCGCAAGAUUAAAACUUAAAGGAAUUGACGGGGUCAUAGCUGUUUCCU
rnacentral:rRNA from 1 species